rnacentral:rRNA from 1 species
CAGUAGCCGCGGUAAUACGGAGGAUCCAAGCGUUAUCCGGAUUUAUUGGGUUUAAAGGGUGCGUAGGUGGCCUGUUAAGUCAGGGGUGAAAGACGGUAGCUCAACUAUCGCAGUGCCCUUGAUACUGAUGGGCUUGAAUGAACUAGAGGUAGGCGGAAUGUGACAAGUAGCGGUGAAAUGCAUAGAUAUGUCACAGAACACCAAUUGCGAAGGCAGCUUACUAUGGUUUUAUUGACACUGAGGCACGAAAGCGUGGGGAUCAAACAGGAUUAGAUACCCCCGUAGUCCCUGUCUCUUAUAC